CCUACGGGAGGCUGCAGUGAGGAAUAUUGGUCAAUGGGCGCGAGCCUGAACCAGCCAAGUAGCGUGAAGGAUGACUGCCCUACGGGUCGUAAACUUCUUUUAUAAAGGAAUAAAGUGAGGCACGGGUGCCUUUUUGAAUGUACUUUAUGAAUAAGGAUCGGCUUACUCCGUGCCAGCAGCCGCGGUAAUACGGAGGAGCCGAGCGUUAUCCGGAUUUAUUGGGGUUAAAGGGAGCGUAGAUGGGUGUUUAAGUCAGUGGUUAAAGUUUGCGGCUCAACCCUAAAAUUGCAAUUGAUACUGGCAGUCUUGAGUACAGUUGAGGUAGGCGGAAUUCGUGGUGUAGCGGUGAAAUGCUUAGAUAGCACGCAGAACUCCGAUUGCGAAGGCAGCUUACUAAACUGCCACUGACAUUGAUACUCGAAAGUGUGGGUAUCAAACAGGAUUAGAUACCCCAGUAGUC
rnacentral:rRNA from 1 species